CCAACAGGGAUUGCCUCAGUAACGGCGAGUGAAGCGGCAACAGCUCAAAUUUGAAAUCUGGCCCUAGGCCCGAGUUGUAAUUUGCAGAGGAUGCUUUUGGUGCGGUGCCUUCCAAGUUCCCUAGAACGGGACGCCAGAGAGGGUGAGAGCCCCGUACAGUUGGACACCAAGCCUUUGUAAAGCUCCUUCGACGAGUCGAGUAGUUUGGGAAUGCUGCUCAAAAUGGGAGGUAUAUUUCUUCUAAAGCUAAAUACCGGCCAGAGACCGAUAGCGCACAAGUAGAGUGAUCGAAAGAUGAAAAGCACUUUGAAAAGAGGGUUAAACAGCACGUGAAAUUGUUAAAAGGGAAGCGCUUGUGACCAGACUUGCGUCCGGUGAAUCACCCAGCUCUCGCGGCUGGGGCACUUCGCCGGCUCAGGCCAGCAUCAGCUCGCUGUCGGGGACAAAAGCUUCGGGAACGUAGCUCUCUUCGGGGAGUGUUAUAGCCUGUUGCAUAAUACCCUUCGGCGGGCUGAGGUACGCGCUCCGCAAGGAUGCUGGCAUAAUGGUCAUCAGCGACCCGUCUUGAAACACGGACCAAGGAGUCAACCUUAUGUGCGAGUGUUCGGGUGUCAAACCCCUACGCGUAAUGAAAGUGAACGCAGGUGAGAGCUUCGGCGCAUCAUCGACCGAUCCUGAUGUUCUCGGAUGGAUUUGAGUAAGAGCAUAUAGGGUUGGACCCGAAAGAAGGUGAACUAUGCGUGUAUAGGGUGAAGCCAGAGGAAACUCUGGUGGAGGCUCGCAGCGGUUCUGACGUGCAAAUCGAUCGUCAAAUAUGCGCAUGGGGGCGAAAGACUAAUCGA
rnacentral:rRNA from 1 species